GUAAGGUUUGGGCAAGCGAGGUUUAAUACCUUCACAGUGCCGCUACCGUAAAGUCGGAAAACCACCUUAC
rnacentral:ncRNA from 2 species